ensembl:lncRNA
GGUAAGAGCACUGCAGUGAGUCAGGAGGGCCCGGUCUGGGCGGCUCUGACUAAGAACACAGUCCCUAACAUCGUGGGGUGUCAAAUCUCCGCAGUCCAAAGGGGCCCUUCCGCCCCCUGGUUUGUGACUGCAAGUUUUGGCCUGAGAAUGAGUGAGUGGGCGGGGGCCACUCAGGUGGCUAUGAAAACUCUCAGUGAGUCUUAGAGGGGCUGGAAUGCAGGCUGGGAACCCGGCUGGGGACAGAGGGUAGCGUGAGGUGUGGCCCAGUGAGCCUACGUCCUCAGUUUCCCCACGAAGGCGGCCUUUUCUGCCACUUAAUAGCACCUUUGCGGUGGAGAUGCAGGCUGCUGGGGUUUGGGGGACCCCUGAGGCGAGCCCCCUUUCCCCCUCCUCCGUUGGGCCACCAAAGUGGUCUCUCUGAUGACUGCCGCCUUCUCUGGUGCCGUGGGUGUGUGUGGCACCUUUUCCAGCACGGUGGCCUGUCAGCGGGGUUCCCCCCACCCACCCCCUUUCCUGGGAAGGGUUUCUUUCCCUUGUGUGGGCGGCAGACGCUGAGCCCAGACACGGACUUCUUCUGGCUCCACAAGCCUCUCCCAGUUGCAGGCUCUGGUUCCUUCAACUUCCAAAGAUAAAUAAAUAGUGAUUGCAAAUGGAGCAAGGGAGAAGGGGACGGCCCCCCUCCCCCCAGCAGGAGCCCUCCUCAGGGCGGGCGCAGGAGCCAGGCCUGCAUUCCUGGGAAGGGUCGUCACAGAGCCACGGCCCACAGGCAGGUCUGCCACCGGCCCUCCUGUUCCCAGGCCGGGGAACUUCUCAGAGAAGAGCAGGGGACGCCUCGGUCCGGGGUCACACAGCCCUCCUGUCAUUUCUUCUUCUUUUUUUUUUUUUUUUUGCUCAGCGGAGACACUCUAAGUCCGGAAAGGAAUUCCACUGCAACAGCCGCUCUCUGAGGCUGAAUCGAGGCCAAAUGACAUUUAAUGAGGCAGUGAUUCCUCACAGGGCCCUGGGGCUCGCACCCUCUAAGCCCUCUCUCAAGAAGCUUUCCUUGGGACUUUCUGGCCUGAUCCCUGGUAGGGGAACUAGAAUCCAACGUGCUUCGGAGCAACUAAAUC